rnacentral:lncRNA from 10 species
CCCACGGACGGCCCAGCACCCGAGCGCGCGGGCCGAGCUGCCCCAGACCCGGCGCAGCGCCUCGGCGAGGCCGUCUGCGAAGUCCGGGCCGCCACUCGGGACCGCGGCCCGAGCCAGAGGAGAGACUUCGGAGAAGAGGGAAGAGGACGCGGGGUGGGAAACGCCGGGGCCGCAGGAUGCUCAGGACCCAGUCAGCGGCGGGAUCAAGAAAAACAGGCAGGGUUUCAAUGUCAACCAAGGCAAUUAGGGAGGUUAACAAACAGCCUUCAAAACAAAACACACAGAAAAUACAUCCCAGAGGAUGUUGCGAAUCAUCCGCUCAAUAGUUCUUGUUCUUCAUCGCAUAAUUUUUCGAGUUGAAAAUUAUUAUUAUUUUCUUUGCAAUAAGUUGAGGAUUGGAAAGCUCUGGAUGCCAGUUCUGGUUCUUCCCUUACUUAACUAGCCGUUUGACCUCCACAAACCUCUGUUUACUCAUCGUAAAGGAAAGGGAUGGACCAAAUGGUUCAUAAUGUCUCUCCCAAUUCUAGGAAUUCCACGCUCUUAAUUAUUUUAAUUAUUUUCUAAUAAAGCAUGAAAAUUGACUGUUUACUCUUGGCCAUACAGUUCUUUUCCUUAGAUGUUGUCUACAGUACAAUAAUUCUUUCCCCUAGGGUAUGGCAGAAACUUUAGAAGUGUCUACCAUGGUGCAGCCACUAUGGAAAACACUAUAGAGGUUUCUCAAAAAAUUAAAAAAAAUACGGUCCAACAAUUCCA